rnacentral:rRNA from 1 species
GUCUAGAGGCUUCGGCAAUGGGGGCAACCCUGACCGAGCGACGCCGCGUGUGGGAUUGAAGGCCUUCGGGUCGUAAACCACUGUCAAGAGGGAAGAAUGCGCUGAUGGUGAAUCAGCGAGAGACGGUACCUCUGGAGGAAGCCCCGGCUAACUCCGUGCCAGCAGCCGCGGUAAUACGGAGGGGGCAAGCGUUGUUCGGAUUUACUGGGCGUAAAGGGUGUGUAGGCGGCUGGGCAAGUCUGAUGUGAAAUCUUUACCGCUUAACGGAAAGAGGUCAUUGGAAACUGCCUAGCUCGAGUAUGGAAGAGGCAAGCGGAAUUCCUGGUGUAGCGGUGGAAUGUGUAGAUAUCAGGAAGAACACCGGUGGCGAAGGCGGCUUGCUGGGCCAUUACUGACGCUGAGACACGAAAGCGUGGGGAGCAAACGGGAUUAGAAACCCGGGUAGUCC